CCUACGGGAGGCAGCAGUGAGGAAUAUUGGUCAAUGGCCGGAAGGCUGAACCAGCCAUGCCGCGUGAAGGUCAGUGCCCUAUGGGCGUUAAACUUCUUUUGUGCGGGAGCAAUAAUGGUCACGUGUGGCCAGACGAGAGUACCGUACGAAUAAGCAUCGGCUAACUCCGUGCCAGCAGCCGCGGUAAUACGGGGGAUACAAGCGUUCUCCGGAUUUAUUGGGGUUAAAGGGUGCGUAGGCUGUGAGGUAAGUCAGCGGUGAAAUGCCCCCGCGCAACGGGGUGAAGUGCCAUUGAUACUGCCUUGCUGGAAUGCGGAUGCCGUGGGAGGAAUGUGUGGUGUAGCGGUGAAAUGCAGAGAUAUCACACAGAACACCGAUUGCGAAGGCAUCUCACGAAUCCGCGAUUGACGCUGAUGCACGAAAGCGUGGGUAUCAAACAGGAUUAGAUACCCGUGUAGUC
rnacentral:rRNA from 1 species